UACGGGGGGAGCAAGCGUUGUUCGGAUUUACUGGGCGUAAAGGGCGCGUAGGCGGCACCGCAAGUCGACUGUGAAAUCUCCGGGCUUAACCCGGAAAGGUCAGCCGAUACUGCGGGGCUAGAGUGCAGAAGGGGCAACUGGAAUUCUCGGUGUAGCGGUGAAAUGCGUAGAUAUCGAGAGGAACACCUGCGGCGAAGGUGGGUUGCUGGGCUGACACGUGACGCUGGAUGCGCGAAAGCUAGGGGAGCGAACGGG
rnacentral:rRNA from 1 species